rnacentral:rRNA from 1 species
CAUUCCUACGGGGGGCAGCAGUGAGGAAUAUUGGUCAAUGGGCGGAAGCCUGAACCAGCCAAGUCGCGUGAGGGAAUAAGGCCCUACGGGUCGUAAACCUCUUUUGCCGGGGAGCAAGGGCCGGGACGCGUCCCGGCCCGGAGAGUACCCGGAGAAAAAGCAUCGGCUAACUCCGUGCCAGCAGCCGCGGUAAUACGGAGGAUGAGAGCGUUAUCCGGAUUUAUUGGGUUUAAAGGGUGCGUAGGCGGGCUUUUAUGUCAGCGGUAAAAAUUCGGGGCUCACCCCCGUCC